rnacentral:rRNA from 1 species
GCAAGUCGAGGGGUAACGAUGUUUUCGGACAGGCGACGACCGGCGCACGGGUGAGUAACGCGUAUGCAACCUACCCUUUACAGGAGGAUAGCCCUAAGAAAUUGGGGUUAAUACUCCAUAGUUUUCUAGAUUCGCAUGAAUUUAGGAAUAAAGUUCCGACGGUAAAGGAUGGGCAUGCGUGCCAUUAGUUAGUUGGUGAGGUAACGGCUCACCAAGACAACGAUGGUUAUGGGGUCUAAAAGGAUGGUC